rnacentral:tRNA from 1 species
CAAAAGGUAGUUUAUAAAAAUGCUAGUUUUGGGGGCUAGCGAUGGGCUGUUUGAUGGCCUCCUUUUGG